GCUUGUCUCAAAGAUUAAGCCAUGCAUGUCUAAGUAUAAGCAAAUUUUAUAGUGAAACUGCGAAUGGCUCAUUAAAUCAGUUAUAAUCUACCUAAUAAAUGACAAUUUAUAAGGAUAACUAUGGUAAUUCUAUAGCUAAUACUUGCCCUCAAAAGCGAUUAUAAGCAAUUAUAUUGGAUGUUUCAGGUUUCGGCCGGGAACGUCUGAGGAAUACAUUAUAACUUCGCCUAAGCUUAAAAUUUAAGCGUUUUUAGACGAGUUUCUGCCCUAUCAGCUGUUGAUGGUAGUGUAUUGGACUACCAUGGCAAUAACGGGUAACGGAGGAUUAGGGUCCGACUCCGGAGAGGGAGCCUGAGAAAUGGCUACCACAUCCAAGGAAGGCAGCAGG
rnacentral:rRNA from 1 species